CAGUAGCCGCGGUAACACAGAGGGUGCAAGCGUUAAUCGGAAUUACUGGGCGUAAAGCGCGCGUAGGUGGUUUGUUAAGUUGGAUGUGAAAGCCCCGGGCUCAACCUGGGAACUGCAUCCAAAACUGGCAAGCUAGAGUACGGUAGAGGGUGGUGGAAUUUCCUGUGUAGCGGUGAAAUGCGUAGAUAUAGGAAGGAACACCAGUGGCGAAGGCGACCACCUGGACUGAUACUGACACUGAGGUGCGAAAGCGUGGGGAGCAAACAGGAUUAGAGACCCCUGUAGUCCCUGUCUCUUAUAC
rnacentral:rRNA from 1 species